rnacentral:tRNA from 3 species
AAGGCUUUAGCUUAAUUAAAGUGUCUGUUUUGCAUACAGUAGAUGUGGGUUAAUCACCUGCAAGUCUUA